rnacentral:rRNA from 1 species
AGUCGAGCGAUGGAUUGAGAGCUUGCUCUCAGAAGUUAGCGGCGGACGGGAGAGUAACACGUGGGUAACCUGCCCAUAAGACUGGGAUAACUCCGGGAAACCGGGGCUAAUACCGGAUAAUAUUUUGAACUGCAUAGUUCGAAAUUGAAAGGCGGCUUCGGCUGUCACUUAUGGAUGGACCCGCGUCGCAUUAGCUAGUUGGUGAGGUAACGGCUCACCAAGGCAACGAUGCGUAGCCGACCUGAGAGGGUGAUCGGCCACACUGGGACUGAGACACGGCCCAGACUCCUACGGGAGGCAGCAGUAGGGAAUCUUCCGCAAUGGACGAAAGUCUGACGGAGCAACGCCGCGUGAGUGAUGAAGGCUUUCGGGUCGUAAAACUCUGUUGUUAGGGAAGAACAAGUGCUAGUUGAAUAAGCUGGCACCUUGACGGUACCUAACCAGAAAGCCACGGCUAACUACGUGCCAGCAGCCGCGGUAAUACGUAGGUGGCAAGCGUUAUCCGGAAUUAUUGGGCGUAAAAGCGCGCGCAGGUGGUUUCUUAAGUCUGAUGUGAAAGCCCACGGCUCAACCGUGGAGGGUCAUUGGAAACUGGGAGACUUGAGUGCAGAAGAGGAAAGUG